UGUGAGUAGAUUGCAAAGCUAAAGCUCUUGUGCAGAAUUACAUUAUGCUUUAUGCCUAAAAUAGUUACUUGCACUGCAGUAUCUACAAAGCUAACUCUAGGCAAAACUGAUUUGCAUUGGCAAACCUGGAGUGUUCUUCACUGAAACCCGAUAGGCUAAAGAAUGCUCAAGCUGUAACAGUGCACAGGAGUGAGGACUGAACUCCCACAGAACGGGUCUUCUCUGCAGUUUGAUGUAUGGGCACAUUAACAUUCAUGUGUUCUGUGUGGACUGGGUGUCAUAGAUACAGAACAACUAGAAGGAUGAGAUUUGGAGGCCACUCCUGGAAUACUCAGUAAGGAUCUCCCCUGGCCUAUCAACUGCCCCAAGAUGGAGCUGCAUGCAUUCCAUCUGCUCCUCUGCAUGGAGCAUGACUUCUCCUCACCUUUGCAGCCACCCUUUCCUGAAGAGCCUCUUUUUAAUUUUUCCCAAGUUCAAUUUGUGCAGGUGCCUGCUUUUCACUGUUGUAGCAGAAAUGCUAAGUCAUGGCCUGAACCAGUGAUUGAGCACCUGGUGGGAAGGCAGGGCCAACCCAGGGGAGCUCAGCUGCAUGUGGAGCACCUGAGUGAUUGGAAGGCAUGGAGCCAGGAUCCACCCCUUCCCAGACUUCAUUUAAGGGUUAGCAGUGGAGGUGAGGAUAUCUUGUUGGAGGUUACUGCUUACUGAAGGUCUUCAUAAGUGUAUGCUGGUGGAGCAAUACCAAGUUAUCUCUCAAACUUCCAAAGCUGGCUGGAGCUGGAUGUGAGGUUUUUACAAGGUAACCACCAAAAGCAGUAAAGUGAAAGCUACAGAACUGGCAGACAUCGGUAUCUAAUAGCUGGUGUCCUUCCUCCUUUCCUGCUGUUACAUAUGCUCUGUGAAAUGGUGUCAAUGAACAGAAGACAACCAAGCCUGCUUUUUCUUUUCCCAACUCAUCAUACAGUGUACCUUGUCUCACCUCCCAGCAAACUGACAGCAACCUGUACCCAACAUGAAAAAAAAAAUAACAAGCAGAUAGCACUCAAGCAGCAAAAUCAACAUUCUUAUUCUUCAGUUAAUGACUAAUGUGAGCAAGAUGAGGUCCAGCAGCACUCCAACAGAACAGAAGAGAGUCCUUUAUUCCCAAAGCAUCAAUGAUAUGGUCAAUAGUUAAAUCCAAUAAGUGAUAUUUUUUCCCUCUUCUUGAACCUAAAAAUUAAGAAAUGAGAGCUCUACAGCUCUUUUUCUUACCUGUAUAUGAAUUACUUGACUGACAUUGCCUUUCAAAAAGAGCUGCAAAUAUGUUAAGCCAGGAGGGUAAAGAAAAUGAAUCCUACUCAUUAAUUAGCAUUACUACAUAGUGCAAGUAUGCACAAUGUGGAUUUGAAGAUGGAUCUCCACCUUUUACGUAUAACCUGGCAGGCGUACAAGUGACAAUGUAUCGUAGCAUUUUGUGUAAACCCUUGUGAAAGUUCUGUCCUUGGUGAGAUACAGAUCUAGGAGAACCAACAUACAGAUGGACAGGCGAUCAAGAAAAAAACAAACAGGAAAUAGCAGGCUGAAGAGAAGAUACACACAUGCAAAGAAAUAGUGCUUAAAUUCUUCUAAGGUCUGAUAAGAGGAGACUGAUGGUCCAGCUGAACCUGCAAAAAGUGAUAGAACUCCAAAUUGUACUGAAUUUUUUCAAAGCAACUGGUACAUAGUAGCAUCAACAAUAGGUUGUAUCACAUGGAUCAUACCCAGGAGGGUAGAGGCUGCAGUAUUCUGACAGACCCUGGUGUAAUACAUGCACCCUAAUGGGUCUCCCAGACCUACCUCUAGGCCACUCUUUCAGUUGGCCUCCAGCUGUUACUCCGUCCACAUAACUGUGAGUAACCCUAUGAGAGCAUGUGUGUGUCUGAACUGUAAAUGGAUGUAUGGUGUGAAUUAUUAAUUAUUAUAAAGCUGUGGCUAAUAAUGAAAGCUUGAGUCUAUUCAUAAUAUAAAUAUAUGUGAACCUAAGUAGUAAAAGGUGUUUUAAUAAAUAUUGGUCAUGAUCUGUCUCCCCAGCUUGAUUGCCUACCAGAGAAAAUGGUAUUUAUAAUAAUGAAAUUUCCUUUCUACUUGGAAAAGACAGGAGAUGAACCAUUGAAUUCAGCAUGCUAGGUAGCUGCAGAGAGGACCCUCCCCCCUUCAUCUAAAUGUUGAGCAGUAGCUUUAUUUCCUGAAUGUACCCAUCCAUUAUCUUCUACUGACAAUAAACACCUUACAAUUUCUUUUUAGUAAGAUCUUUAUGAGCCUUCAGUUCAUGUUAAGUUUAAAAGGGUCGUAUUCCUUUGUUUUGACAGUGCAAAGGAUUCUGGUUUACUUUUAGCUGUUUUUGAAGCUUAAUUGGAGCCAGAAGGCUGGAUCAUCAGUAGACAUAAUGUAUUAUCAUUAACUUCAUGAGGCAAUUUCUCAUGUACAAUUUUGCUAGUGCAGACAU
ensembl:lncRNA